rnacentral:rRNA from 1 species
GUUGAUCCUGCCGGAGGCCACUGCUAUCGGGUUCCGACUAAGCCAUGCGAGUCAUGGGGUCGCAAGACACCGGCGCACGGCUCAGUAACACGCGGAUAAUCUAUCCUCUGGUGGGGGAUAACCUCGGGAAACUGAGGCUAAUACCCCAUAGAUAUUCAAUGCUGGAAGGCUUGGAUAUCGAAAGCGCAAGCGCCAGAGGGUGAGUCUGCGGCCUAUCAGGUAGUAGGUGGUGUAACGGACCACCUAGCCUAAGACGGGUACGGGCCUUGAGAGAGGGAGCCCGGAGAUGGGUUCUGAGACACGAACCCAGGCCCUACGGGGCGCAGCAGGCGCGAAACCUUCGCACUGCGCGAAAGCGCGACGAGGGGAGCCCGAGUGCCUCUCCAUUUCGGGGAGGCUUUUCACAAGCCUAAAAAGCUUGUGGAAUAAGGGCUGGGCAAGACGGGUGCCAGCCGCCGCGGUAAUACCCGCAGCUCGAGUGGUGGUCGCUUUUAUUGAGCCUAAAACGUUCGUAGUCGGCCUUGUAAAUCCCUGGGUAAAUCGGACCGCUUAACGGUUCGAAUUCCGGGGAGACUGCAAGGCUAGGGACCGGGCGAGGUCAGAGGUACUUUCGGGGUAGGAGUGAAAUCCUGUAAUCCCGAAGGGACCACCUGUGGCGAAAGCGUCUGACUUGAACGGCUCCGACGAUGAGGAACGAAGGCUAGGGGAG